rnacentral:snoRNA from 1 species
AACCCCUCUCAAGGUCACACCUGGAGAAUUUUCAGUAUUCUACCAGUCUCGACUCUGAGAGGGAGAAUCAAGCAAAGGCAUACCCAUUCCAUUCCUAGCUUGGUCAGUGGCUAGUGAGUGGAAAGCAAUCUGCCACAAGU